CCUGGCUCACGAUGAACGCUAGCUACAGGCUUAACACAUGCAAGUCGAGGGGCAGCAUGGUCUUAGCUUGCUAAGGCCGAUGGCGACCGGCGCACGGGUGAGUAACACGUAUCCAACCUGCCGUCUACUCUUGGACAGCCUUCUGAAAGGAAGAUUAAUACAAGAUGGCAUCAUGAGUCCGCAUGUUCACAUGAUUAAAGGUAUUCCGGUAGACGAUGGGGAUGCGUUCCAUUAGAUAGUAGGCGGGGUAACGGCCCACCUAGUCUUCGAUGGAUAGGGGUUCUGAGAGGAAGGUCCCCCACAUUGGAACUGAGACACGGUCCAAACUCCUACGGGAGGCAGCAGUGAGGAAUAUUGGUCAAUGGGCGAGAGCCUGAACCAGCCAAGUAGCGUGAAGGAUGACUGCCCUAUGGGUUGUAAACUUCUUUUAUAAAGGAAUAAAGUCGGGUAUGGAUACCCGUUUGCAUGUACUUUAUGAAUAAGGAUCGGCUAACUCCGUGCCAGCAGCCGCGGUAAUACGGAGGAUCCGAGCGUUAUCCGGAUUUAUUGGGUUUAAAGGGAGCGUAGAUGGAUGUUUAAGUCAGUUGUGAAAGUUUGCGGCUCAACCGUAAAAUUGCAGUUGAUACUGGAUAUCUUGAGUGCAGUUGAGGCAGGCGGAAUUCGUGGUGUAGCGGUGAAAUGCUUAGAUAUCACGAAGAACUCCGAUUGCGAAGGCAGCCUGCUAAGCUGCAACUGACAUUGAGGCUCGAAAGUGUGGGUAUCAAACAGGAUUAGAUACCCUGGUAGUCCACACGGUAAACGAUGAAUACUCGCUGUUUGCGAUAUACUGCAAGCGGCCAAGCGAAAGCGUUAAGUAUUCCACCUGGGGAGUACGCCGGCAACGGUGAAACUCAAAGGAAUUGACGGGGGCCCGCACAAGCGGAGGAACAUGUGGUUUAAUUCGAUGAUACGCGAGGAACCUUACCCGGGCUUAAAUUGCAGAUGAAUUACGGUGAAAGCCGUAAGCCGCAAGGCAUCUGUGAAGGUGCUGCAUGGUUGUCGUCAGCUCGUGCCGUGAGGUGUCGGCUUAAGUGCCAUAACGAGCGCAACCCUUGUUGUCAGUUACUAACAGGUUCCGCUGAGGACUCUGACAAGACUGCCAUCGUAAGAUGUGAGGAAGGUGGGGAUGACGUCAAAUCAGCACGGCCCUUACGUCCGGGGCUACACACGUGUUACAAUGGGGGGUACAGAGGGCCGCUACCACGCGAGUGGAUGCCAAUCCCCAAAACCUCUCUCAGUUCGGACUGGAGUCUGCAACCCGACUCCACGAAGCUGGAUUCGCUAGUAAUCGCGCAUCAGCCACGGCGCGGUGAAUACGUUCCCGGGCCUUGUACACACCGCCC
rnacentral:rRNA from 1 species